UCCAGAGGUCUCAAGCGUUGUUCGGAAUCACUGGGCGUAAAGGGUGCGUAGGCGGCGGAGUAAGUCGGGUGUGAAAUUUGAAGGCUCAACCUUCAACUAGCACCUGAUACUGCUUUGCUUGAGGUCUGAAGAGGAGCUUGGAAUUCUCGGUGUAGCAGUGAAAUGCGUAGAUUUCGAGAAGAACGCUCGCAGCGAAAGCGAGGCUCUGGUCAGAUUCUGACGCUGAGGCACGAAGGCUAGGGGAGCAAACGGG
rnacentral:rRNA from 1 species